AAAGGGAGACCUAAUUCGGGUAUGGGAUGAAAAAAAAGUAGUCCCAACCAAGAAUCAAUCCCAAAAGGUCGGAGCGAGGCGAAAUUGGCUUUCAAACUAGGUCCUGGGUUCACAGACGACCUGAAUCAGGAACAAGGGCUAUUAGCUCAGGUGGUUAGAGCGCACCCCUGAUAAGGGUGAGGUCCCUGGUUCGAGUCCAGGAUGGCCCACCUGCACAGGUGGUAAAAACAAGAGAAGCGAGGAAUCAGCACCUUAUCUUACUUACAUAGUAAGAGAGAAUGCUGGCUCUGAGUAAAGAGUCCAGAGGAACCUUGAAAACUGCAUAGAGCUAGGUGAAAAAGCCAAAAAAGAAGACCGCAAG
rnacentral:tRNA from 1 species